UCUAGCUGUAUGAGUGGUGUACAUUCUUCAUAAAGCUAGAUAACCGAAAGUAACAAGAAUCCCAUUACGCUCCUGAAAGGCACCAAGAUCCCCAACACAUAUCCCCCAUGCUGCACCACCCCAUUCUACCAAUCACAGCAAAACAAGCCACGAAAAUGGCCGACAUCAUAGGACACGGAAGCAGAAGAAAAAGUCAAACUACCAACACCACCAUGACAGAAUGCAGGCAAAAUGAGGCUGAAAAACAGGGAGAGGCGGAGAGGUUGCUGUUGACUCUGACUCCCUCUCCUCCGUAUCUCCUCUCCCCUUCUCCCCUCCCUCGCUUCAUCCUCAGCUGCCUUCCCCAUUCUCCUGUACCGCGAGACGCAGCCCACGCCACCAUCUUAGGACGACGCUCGCUGGCAUGAAAUGGAAGUGAGGACCAGAGAGAGCAGGAAAAUAAUGGUCCAGAACACUGGGAGAGGGCAGAAAUGACAGCGAGCAGUAAUCCAUUGGGAGAAGAGAAGUUGCCCACAAACUACCAACCCAUCCCUAGUAUUUGCAAUGGAACAGGCCCAUUACAACAAUGUUUGUCCACUACACUCCGACUUGUGCCACAACAUUUGAGCAUCAGAGCACUUUAGCUGUCUCUGACAUGUGGUUGGACCUCUGGCCUGGGUUUUGUUAUCCAACAAGGGCCAAUCAGGAUUGGUUUUCUUUCCUUUCAUUAAGCCAAUAAGAAAGUGGGGUGGUGGCAUGGAAAACAAGAGCAAAUAUCUCAAGAUCCAAGAUGAACAGAGAAGCACUGAUUCUUGGAUACACUGUGCUAUGAAUUAGAAACAUGACAUGUGCUGUGUACCUACAGUAUUUGCUUGCAGCCUCAAUAACAUCUACACUGAGUGUCCAAAACAUUAAGAACAUCUGCUCUUUCCAUGACAUAGACUGACCAGGUGAAUCCAGGUGAAAGCUAUGAUCCCUUAAUGAUGUCACUUGUUAAAUCCACUUCAAUCAGUGUAGAUGAAGGGGAGGAGACAGGUUAAAGAAGGAUUUUUAAGCCUUAAGACAAUUGAGACAUGGAUUGUGUGUGUGCCAUUCAGAGGGUGGAUGGGCAAGACACAAAAAUGUAAGUGCCUUUGAACGGGGUAUGGUAGUAGGUGCCAGGCACACUGGUUUGUGUCAAGAACUGCAACACUGCUGGGUUUUUCCACGCUCAACAGUUCCCCGUGUGUAUCAAGAAUGGUCCACCAGCCAAAGGACAUCCAGCCAACUUGACACAACGGUGGGAAGUAUUGGAGUCAACAUAGGCCAGCAUCCCUGUUGAAAGCUCUUCAACACCUUGUAGAGUCCAUGCCCCGACGAAUUGAUGCUGCAACUCAAUAGUAGGAAGGUGUCCUUAAAUGUUUUGUACACUCAGUGUGUGUUACAUGUGAGGAAAUGUUCCUUGCAAUACAGAUUCUUAGGUGCAAACAUUUCUAUAAUAGAAUAGAGCACUUUACUACUACUACUACUACUACUACUACUACUACUACUUUUUAAUUUAAAGUAAAUAACAAUGUAUGAAUAGAGUCCAUGGUGUUUCAUGGGAAUGUUGUAUAACAAGCUAUAUAAAUAACAUAGACCUACCUAGAUCAUAUGGGUUAGAAUUUUUGCCCAUUUUUGUUUUUAUAUUUUAUUGUUUACUAGUUGCUAUGACUGACAGACACAUGAAUGUGAGACCCACGGCAGCAGUGAAGAAUACUGCACUGCGAUUGGACGGCUCCGUGUGUCAUAUGACACACAGGCGAAUGGGAGAGCUGUUGUCUUUAUACUCUAUGCAACUGUUUUUGGCCUGCUACUAAAUAUAUUGGGCAAGCCUUCAACUGAAUUAUUUUUGGGCGAACAAUCUCAUGAAAUAUUACACUGUUUAUUCAGUUUUCUCUUACCAUGUAGGUUGUUGUUGUGUGUGUGUGUGUGUGUGUGUGUGUGCGUGCGUGCGUGAAAGAGGGAAAGAGUGAGCGUUAGAGAGAAAGUUAGACAUUACAGAUGAACAUAACACAUUUGCUUUAUAAAACAAAUUGUGGAAAGACAUUUUAGUUUGAAUUUUUCAAUAACAGAGUUGAAUAUGCUGGCCCUAAGCCUCUGCCAACGCAAAUCAGUGUAGGAAUUACACAUCUAAUAUUCUUGAUGGCAGAGCUCUGUUUGAUCAGCAGUGCGGUUUAUAGGGAGUAAGCUAGGCUGCACGGACAGAACAUUCUAAACCACUUAAGCUUUCCAAGUAGGCUUUGAAUGCAGUAGCCUGGCUUUCCCUAGCAAACCACGUCAGCGUAAUACAAGGUACUUUAGAGUAAGACAUGAUAAAUACAGAGAAUUCAAAUACUUCCUUAAUUUCCUUUCCUUCACAUUAUCGCACAGAUACACACACACACACACACACACACACACACACACACACACACACACACACACUCACACACUCACACACUCACACACACACAAUACGCAAGCAAAUGCAAUAAUGCAAGCACUAUCAUAGACUAGUUUGUUUUAUAUAAAUUUUCAGGAAGUGGCACAUUUUUAUUCCAAUUGAUAAUGUAUGCAAAUCUUUUAAAUAUUCAUUUUAACAAUCUAUUCAGCGCUUGUGCAAUUGAGUUGAAGGAGACUAUCUUGGUCUGAUUUUGUAAAUGUAUUAUUUUGAUCAUCUUGAGCAUCACAAUGCUAUAUUAUUACAUCUGCCUGGAUAAGCUUGAAAUUGAAAAACAUUUUUAAUCCGUAACUAAAAGUCACUUCAGGGAUGGCUAAAACCAGUCUAUCCGCAUAUAAUCAACAAAUUGUGGUCGCUGAAAUGAUUAAAUAAUUAUUUGUUUCUUGUUUUGUUUUGCACCGAGAUGAAAUGUCUAUUCAGAUAUUUUUAAGCAACCGAUGUUGUUUGUGUUAUGCAAUCUAGUGUGUAUUAUGUAAUGCUAGAUUGCACUGAAUGAACCACGUGCCUUUGUAUGAAAAACAAACUGUGUCCUGUCAUGGAUUAGUAAUAAAAGUUUACAUUGAA